rnacentral:rRNA from 1 species
AGAGUUUGAUCCUGGCUCAGAACGAACGCUGGCGGCAGGCUUAACACAUGCAAGUCGAACGCCCCGCAAGGGGAGUGGCAGACGGGUGAGUAACGCGUGGGAAUCUACCUAGUUCUACGGAACAACUGAGGGAAACUUCAGCUAAUACCGUAUACGCCCUAAGGGGGAAAGAUUUAUCGGAAUUAGAUGAGCCCGCGUAAGAUUAGCUAGUUGGUGGGGUAAUGGCCUACCAAGGCGACGAUCUUUAGCUGGUCUGAGAGGAUGAUCAGCCACACUGGGACUGAGACACGGCCCAGACUCCUACGGGAGGCAGCAGUGGGGAAUAUUGGACAAUGGGCGCAAGCCUGAUCCAGCCAUGCCGCGUGAGUGAUGAAGGCCUUAGGGUUGCAAAGCUCUUUCAGUGGGGAAGAUAAUGACGGUACCCACAGAAGAAGCCCCGGCUAACUUCGUGCCAGCAGCCGCGGUAAUACGAAGGGGGCUAGCGUUGUUCGGAUUUACUGGGCGUAAAGCGCACGUAGGCGGAUUGUUAAGUCAGGGGUGAAAUCCUGGAGCUCAACUCCAGAACUGCCUUUGAUACUGGCAAUCUAGAGUCCGGAAGAGGUGAGUGGAACUCCUAGUGUAGAGGUGGAAUUCGUAGAUAUUAGGAAGAACACCAGUGGCGAAGGCGGCUCACUGGUCCGGUACUGACGCUGAGGUGCGAAAGCGUGGGGAGCAAACAGGAUUAGAUACCCUAGUAGUCC